rnacentral:rRNA from 1 species
UAGGGAAUCUUCCGCAAUGGACGCAAGUCUGACGGAGCAACGCCGCGUGAGUGAAGAAGGAUUUCGGUUCGUAAAACUCUGUUGUUAGAGAAGAACAGCGCAUAGAGUAACUGUUAUGCGUGUGACGGUAUCUAACCAGAAAGCCACGGCUAACUACGUGCCAGCAGCCGCGGUAAUACGUAGGUGGCAAGCGUUGUCCGGAUUUAUUGGGCGUAAAGCGAGCGCAGGCGGUCAAUUAAGUCUGAUGUGAAAGCCCCCGGCUCAACCGGGGAGGGUCAUUGGAAACUUGUUGACUUGAGUGCAGAAGAGGAGAGUGGAAUUCCAUGUGUAGCGGUGAAAUGCGUAGAUAUAUGGAGGAACACCAGUGGCGAAGGCGACUCUCUGGUCUGUAACUGACGAUGAGGCUCGAAAGCGUGGGGAGCGAACAGG